rnacentral:rRNA from 1 species
GCGGCUUGUUGCGUCAGCUGUGAAAACCCGCAGCUCAACUGUGGGCUUGCAGCUGAUACGGGCAGGCUUGAGUUCGGUAGGGGAGACUGGAAUUCCUGGUGUAGCGGUGAAAUGCGCAGAUAUCAGGAGGAACACCGGUGGCGAAGGCGGGUCUCUGGGCCGAUACUGACGCUGAGGAGCGAAAGCGUGGGGAGCGAACAGGAUUAGAUACCCUGGUAGUCCACGCUGUAAACGUUGGGCGCUAGGUGUGGGGGGCCUCUCCGGUUCUCUGUGCCGCAGCUAACGCAUUAAGCGCCCCGCCUGGGGAGUACGGCCGCAAGGCUAAAACUCAAAGGAAUUGACGGGGGCCCGCACAAGCGGCGGAACAUGCGGAUUAAUUCGAUGCAACGCGAAGAACCUUACCUGGGUUUGACAUGGGCGCUAAAGCCGCAGAGAUGUGGUGUCCUUCGGGGGCGUUCACAGGUGGUGCAUGGCUGUCGUCAGCUCGUGUCGCGAGAUGUUGGGUUAAGUCCCGCAACGAGCGCAACCCUUGUUCGAUGUUGCCAGCGG